rnacentral:misc_RNA from 1 species
GCAAACUUGGUCAUUUAGAGGAAGUAAAAGUCGUAACAAGGUUUCCGUAGGUGAACCUGCGGAAGGAUCAUUAUUGAAUCAACUUGGUUUGGGUUGUUGCUGGCUUUUUUAUGGGCAUGUGCACACCUAUUCCAUCUUUUAACCACCUGUGCACCUCAUGUAGAUCUGAGAAACUCGAGGGAGAGACUCGGUUUGAGAAUUGCUGAGUGACAGCAAGCUGUUCUUGUUAUCAGAUCUAUGUUUUUUUUUUUUAUAAUAUACCCCAUAUGAAUGUAUUCGAAUGUUGUAAUUGGCCUUUGUGCCAUUAAAGUCUAAUACAACUUUCAACAACGGAUCUCUUGGCUCUCGCAUCGAUGAAGAACGCAGC